AGUGAACGCUGGCGGCAGGCCUAACACAUGCAAGUCGAACGGCAGCACAGGAGAGCUUGCUCUCUGGGUGGCGAGUGGCGGACGGGUGAGGAAUACAUCGGAAUCUACCUUGUCGUGGGGGAUAACGUAGGGAAACUUACGCUAAUACCGCAUACGACCUUCGGGUGAAAGCAGGGGACCUUCGGGCCUUGCGCGAUUAGAUGAGCCGAUGUCGGAUUAGCUAGUUGGCGGGGUAAAGGCCCACCAAGGCGACGAUCCGUAGCUGGUCUGAGGGGAUGAUCAGCCACACUGGAACUGGGACACGGUCCAGACUCCGACGGGAGGCAGCAGUGGGGAAUAUUGGACAAUGGGCGCAAGCCUGAUCCAGCUAUGCCGCGUGGGUGGAGAAGGCCUUCGGGUUGUAAAGCCCUUUUGUUGGGAAAGAAAAGCAGUCGGCCAAUACCCGAUUGUUCUGACGGUACCCAAAGAAUAAGCACCGGCUAACUUCGUGCCAGCCGCCGCCGUAAGAC
rnacentral:rRNA from 1 species